GACGGAGGAGGCAAGCGUUAUCCGGAAUUAUUGGGCGUAAAGCGUCCGCAGGUGGUUAUACAAGUCUGUUGUCAAAGAGCGAGGCUCAACUUCGUAUCGGCAAUGGAAACUGUAGGACUAGAGUGCGGUAGGGGUAGAGGGAAUUCCCGGUGUAGCGGUGAAAUGCGUAGAUAUCGGGAAGAACACCAGUGGCGAAAGCGCUCUACUGGGCCUGCACUGACACUGAGGGACGAAAGCUAGGGGAGCGAAAGGG
rnacentral:rRNA from 1 species